AAAAGAGUUUCCCUUAAUGAAAAAGCGAGCCGACGUAGAAUGAAGGUCAAAAGAAGAUGUGAAGAUAAUGAUAGAAAAUGUUGGUAGUCGCUUCGGAUAUGUCUUCUGGCGCCGCUACUCCCUGAUGCCAUUGGUGUCACCGGAUUACAAGGAAUGUUAAAGUUACGAUCGAUUUUCACUAAAUUCCGGUCUGCUUGUACGCCGCAGAAGUCGGGACGCCUUCUAUUUGUCACCCAGUCCCGUUUGCCCAGUCCCUUCCUUUUUUGUCGAUUGAACGCAUUUUCGGCAUCUUCCUUCUCGAUCCCCCACACAGCAGAAAACGAGGAGAGGGUAACUGAUGUGGCAACAUCCCUCCCUUUCCUCGCAGCGGAAAAAACAAACAAAAAAUACCAAGGCAUUCAAACAAACCAGCAGACCUUCGCAUUGGCGUUAACAGUUUUGCAAGCAAAAAAAAAGAGAAGCUUCCUGUACAUAGUCUUGGAUCGUAUACAGCAUCUUCGCAUUUACUGGCUAAGUAUAUCCUUCUUGGCACAUAUUUCCUUGUAGUAGUAUAACAACGGUCUUCUGCCUUACUAAGUAUAACUAUUUAUGUGUGUAUGAUACGAAAAGAAUUUGUAAGAUAUAUAUUACUGAUCAUUAAACAACCUGAGGCCUAUAAAUGAAGGCUAAACGUGUUGAAAGUUUUAAUGGCAUCCUUAGUGCAUAGAUUUGUAGCAGAAAAUCAAAAGCUAUAGUUCAAUAUACCGGAUUGAGUGAGAGGAUGCGUUCUGAUACCUAGUAUCGUCAUAGUUAUAUUGAAGACACCUACAAAGAGUAGAAAAAUUGUAGUGACUGUAUUGCUUUCAUCAUGUGACAAGGUAAGUUAAUCCACGAACCACGAAAUAGAUGUUAUGGAACUCGUUUCAGUACCUACCCCUACUAGCAAGAGUAGAUGAAAACACUGGCUGUGAAUGAAAAAACUGAAGUCUUAGUUUAAAUAAUCCUGAUAACACAAACAUGUCUGCAGCACACGUAUUUUGGUCAUUCCACCACAGCUCCGAACGAAAUGCCCUCUCACCUGAAACCUGUCUGUUUUACGAAUUAAGAUAAUGCUUGAAAUUGACUGAUACACGAGUCAGCCGGUUCUGAGGUUUCGGGUUUAUUAAUCACAAUUUCUUGCCUAUGAGGUAACAAAUUAUUGCAAUAUAACAGCAUAUAAUAGUAGUAUAUUGUAGUUGAUACAGCUUUUUUCUUUGACUGACACAAUUUCCGUUUCGUAGAUAGACCCAUAGAUUUUGUAUUACGACAAAGAGGGAAAAAAGAGGCUUAAUGUCGGGGCACAAUGUGGUUGCUUCAAAGGUAAACAACAAUUGAGCAGAACUUUCGUCCCUGCUCCGCUCUUGGGCUCUCAGCAGCUCAGCCGGUGAAUCCAGGUUUCCCCGGUGAAAAGUCCACAAAGAGGGAUGAAGAUUUUCUCCUCGAUUAGAACAUAACCCUUUAAGGGUGGUACUCCACUGAAGCGUACUUGCCUCCAUGCGUGUACUGAAAGGAGUUCCUUUCGUGUUCCAUCCCCGAGGUUCCCUCCAAGAGCCUUUUCCCAUUGGUUCGCCUCAUCGCGGCCAGAAUCUCGCUUACGUACAACUAGGCCCUACAGCCACCUCGCUAAGCAACCGACCAGGCCACCAAAGAGGCAGUCGGUGAGCCCUGAAAUUGCAGCAACAGGUACGCGUCUUCACCAGCGAAGAAAAGACUUCUCGUUUUGGCUUAUCAUCUUAGAAGGACAUCAUAACAGGUAACUUACUUGGCCAGAUCCAAUGCAUUUGCUUUGUUAUCGGAACGAGAGCUGUGUGGUACGUGUUACGGCAGGAGUUUACCAAAACGAAUUUCCUGGUAGAAGUAGUAAAAUAUUUCCUAUUUUUCGUGUUUCCGUUGAAAAAAGACAGCAAAAGUCCUGUAUUUUUAAAGUUACGCCGCAUACUCACCAAGAAAAACGCUUUUUUUUUAGGUGCAUAAAAAUUAAAGUACAUUUUCCUACUAGCAGUAGAAUGUAGCUUACUGAAAUGUUCCAUUCGAUUCUGGGAAGAGCUAUUAUAACCACUAAAGCAUAUCCCACAAAUCGAAGUACAUUUUUUUCUCCGUAUUCAAGUGAGGGCACACGGUCUUUCGCAAAAUAACGUGUGCUUUACGGUCCAGCGUAUUGGUCUUAAAGUGUUUAUUAAAAGCAUAAUUUUCUGAUUAUUACGACACAAUUGUUGGAUCUUCAGUGUUGUUGUAGAUGUUCAGUCUCCUACUGGCUGCUGCUGAACCAGUAUAACUGGUUGACGUUCCCGUGGACGCUUCACUCAUCCUACUUGAAGCCGUCCUUGAAUUGAAUUUUUUUUCUGAAAUUUUUUUUGCUCUGAUAAAUAUCAAUCAAAUUGAGGACAUUCUUGUUACAAAAGACCUUGCAAGCCUUUUGCAAACGUUCGAAAAUAGUUAAAUAAAUAUCUGACAAACAACCUGAGCAUAGAUGCAAAAUAGUAUGACAGAAAGUAUAUAUGAAAAUCUGAUUUUCUAUUUUACAAGGUAAACAAUAUAUAUGUGCAGUAAAAAAAUCAUUAUUUGUGAAAAGUAUACACAUAAUAUUUUCUGAACGUGGCCUUAUGCGUACUUUCUGUAAGUAUUCAUUUCUUCUUAAUCCAUUAGACCCGUCUCGACUUAUCUUUUAAGCUUAAAAAACUGCAAGGGUAUCUCAGUAGUGGGUCUGCUAUUGAUUCUAAGCUACCACUACCAUCCUCUCCCGUCAGUUAGGUAGGCGGUUUUUAACAAUGCAGAACUUCUUGUGAACUCUUUAGUAGUUCAUGUAGUUCUUAGGUAGUUAUGCACUUUAUUUCGGUUAAUUUAGUACGCUGCUAUAUAUCCCUAAAUAUUCAACUUGAUUUUGCCUCUUGUAGAUCACCGCCGCCAGGAACUCGAUCAGCCCGAUCGGAUUUUACGUCAGUUCAUUGGUAAACUUCCGAGCUUGGACGAAAUGACGGCAUUAGACCUGUGAUGUACGUGAGCUAAGCGAUGCUGGUUUCUUCCAUAAGCCAACAACCGUUACUGAGCCUCGAACGCACGCUCAUUUUCACAUGAUCAGACAACGAAAAUAUCUGUUAUUCAGUCUCUGUCAAUCUUACUAUAAAUUUGAUAUAUUUAUCGAGGA